rnacentral:rRNA from 1 species
AUUGAACGCUGGCGGCAGGCCUAACACAUGCAAGUCGAGCGGUAGAGAGAAGCUUGCUUCUCUUGAGAGCGGCGGACGGGUGAGUAAUGCCUAGGAAUCUGCCUGAUAGUGGGGGAUAACGUCCGGAAACGGACGCUAAUACCGCAUACGGCCUACGGGAGAAAGUGGGGGCUCUUCGGACCUCACGCUAUCAGAUGAGCCUAGGUCGGAUUAGCUAGUUGGUGAGGUAAUGGCUCACCAAGGCGACGAUCCGUAACUGGUCUGAGAGGAUGAUCAGUCACACUGGAACUGAGACACGGUCCAGACUCCUACGGGAGGCAGCAGUGGGGAAUAUUGGACAAUGGGCGAAAGCCUGAUCCAGCCAUGCCGCGUGUGUGAAGAAGGUCUUCGGAUUGUAAAGCACUUUAAGUUGGGAGGAAGGGUCGUUACCUAAUACGUGGCGAUUUUGACGUUACCGACAGAAUAAGCACCGGCUAACUCUGUGCCAGCCGCCGCAGUAAUAC